GAUGGAUGAAUUGAUGAAAUUAUUUGCUAGUAAGAAUGCUCCUAUUGAUCCCAAUUAUAUGUCUUUGUCUUCUUUGAUUGGAAACAAUAAUGAAUCUAUGGAUGUUAAUUUUGUUGGUAGGAACAAUUUUGGCAAUAACGAGUAUAGAGGUAAUUUCAAUCCCAGGUCGUUUCCUAGUAAUUCCUCUAAUAAUUAUGAUAAUUCCGACAACAAUUC
rnacentral:lncRNA from 1 species